rnacentral:misc_RNA from 1 species
GCUCGUGCCCGUCCACCGAACGGUCGGCAGGCGAUCCGCGUCGGUCGCGCUGGGUGGUAUGGUUCCCCAGAGGCCGGUUCUUGUGCUGCCUACCCCUUCAGGGGAAGAGUUCCAAACUCGAUGUAAGCCUCCAUCCGGCGCCCUCCAGAGGGCGCGGGAGGACAACGGAGCACCCCCCGCGUUCCACCGAGCCUCCUCGGUCGCGUGGCCCGCGGGGACGUGCGAUGCUCUCGGACCCAGCGAACGCCGUGGGCGAGGACUCACGUCCCGGUCCCAAGUGAAGCAAACGGUAUAACGCCGACGGCCGCUCCCGCCCCCCGACCGCCCCGGCGGCGCGGGGGCGAAGGCGCGGCGUCGCUGAGGAAUGCUACCU